CAAGAACCAUUUCAACUGUUUCCCCGGUGAAUUGAGUGUAUUGUGUCCACGAAUGCACAAUCUUAACUUGAAUUUUCCAAUGUGUUUUGAAGGGCUUAAUGUCAGCAAGAGGGGUGAAUGCUUGAACAGCUGCCAUUUUCUUAGAGAAAUAUUGAAGUGGUAAUGGUAAAGCUUUGAAAGAUUCAAUACAUUAAAGCAUUGGUUUCGGUAUGGGCCUAAUAAAAGUCGUAAGCCCAACAGGAAGCUUCAUCUGUUCGGGUCUGUGAUUUUUAAGAAAGAGGAUCCGAUUGCUUGAUCCGGGAUCCGCGUCCCAAAAGCGAGAAUUUUACAAUUUUACCCCUCCACGCAAAUUUUUAUUUUGUCUUUAAAACUUUAAUUGUAAUGGCAUUCUCUUGUAAUUAUUUACAGAUUGUAAGGUUAUUUUUCAGGUAAUCCUUCCCAAUUAAUAGUA